rnacentral:rRNA from 1 species
GAGUUUGAUCUUGGCUCAGAUUGAACGCUGGCGGCAGGCCUAACACAUGCAAGUCGAGCGGUAGAGAGAAGCUUGCUUCUCUUGAGAGCGGCGGACGGGUGAGUAAUGCCUAGGAAUCUGCCUGGUAGUGGGGGAUAACGCUCGGAAACGGACGCUAAUACCGCAUACGUCCUACGGGAGAAAGCAGGGGACCUUCGGGCCUUGCGCUAUCAGAUGAGCCUAGGUCGGAUUAGCUAGUUGGUGAGGUAAUGGCUCACCAAGGCGACGAUCCGUAACGUGGUCUGAGAGGAUGAUCAGUC